UUAAGUUAUUAAGGGCGCACGGUGGAUGCCUUGGCACUAGAAGCCGAUGAAGGACGUUACUAACGACGAUAUGCUUUGGGGAGCUGUAAGUAAGCUUUGAUCCAGAGAUUUCCGAAUGGGGAAACCCAGCAUGAGUUAUGUCAUGUUAUCGAUAUGUGAAUACAUAGCAUAUCAGAAGGCACACCCGGAGAACUGAAACAUCUUAGUACCCGGAGGAAGAGAAAGAAAAUUCGAUUCCCUUAGUAGCGGCGAGCGAAACGGGAAGAGCCCAAACCAACAAGCUUGCUUGUUGGGGUUGUAGGACACUCUAUACGGAGUUACAAAGGACGACAUUAGACGAAUCAUCUGGAAAGAUGAAUCAAAGAAGGUAAUAAUCCUGUAGUCGAAAAUGUUGUCUCUCUUGAGUGGAUCCUGAGUACGACGGAGCACGUGAAAUUCCGUCGGAAUCUGGGAGGACCAUCUCCUAAGGCUAAAUACUCUCUAGUGACCGAUAGUGAACCAGUACCGUGAGGGAAAGGUGAAAAGCACCCCGGAAGGGGAGUGAAAUAGAACCUGAAACCGUGUGCUUACAAGUAGUCAGAGCCCGUUAAUGGGUGAUGGCGUGCCUUUUGUAGAAUGAACCGGCGAGUUACGAUUUGAUGCAAGGUUAAGCAGUAAAUGUGGAGCCGUAGCGAAAGCGAGUCUGAAUAGGGCGUUUAGUAUUUGGUCGUAGACCCGAAACCAGGUGAUCUACCCUUGGUCAGGUUGAAGUUCAGGUAACACUGAAUGGAGGACCGAACCGACUUACGUUGAAAAGUGAGCGGAUGAACUGAGGGUAGCGGAGAAAUUCCAAUCGAACCUGGAGAUAGCUGGUUCUCUCCGAAAUAGCUUUAGGGCUAGCCUCAAGUGAUGAUUAUUGGAGGUAGAGCACUGUUUGGACGAGGGGCCCCUCUCGGGUUACCGAAUUCAGACAAACUCCGAAUGCCAAUUAAUUUAACUUGGGAGUCAGAACAUGGGUGAUAAGGUCCGUGUUCGAAAGGGAAACAGCCCAGACCACCAGCUAAGGUCCCAAAAUAUAUGUUAAGUGGAAAAGGAUGUGGCGUUGCCCAGACAACUAGGAUGUUGGCUUAGAAGCAGCCAUCAUUUAAAGAGUGCGUAAUAGCUCACUAGUCGAGUGACACUGCGCCGAAAAUGUACCGGGGCUAAACAUAUUACCGAAGCUGUGGAUUGUCCUUUGGACAAUGGUAGGAGAGCGUUCUAAGGGCGUUGAAGCAUGAUCGUAAGGACAUGUGGAGCGCUUAGAAGUGAGAAUGCCGGUGUGAGUAGCGAAAGACGGGUGAGAAUCCCGUCCACCGAUUGACUAAGGUUUCCAGAGGAAGGCUCGUCCGCUCUGGGUUAGUCGGGUCCUAAGCUGAGGCCGACAGGCGUAGGCGAUGGAUAACAGGUUGAUAUUCCUGUACCACCUAUAAUCGUUUUAAUCGAUGGGGGGACGCAGUAGGAUAGGCGAAGCGUGCGAUUGGAUUGCACGUCUAAGCAGUAAGGCUGAGUAUUAGGCAAAUCCGGUACUCGUUAAGGCUGAGCUGUGAUGGGGAGAAGACAUUGUGUCUUCGAGUCGUUGAUUUCACACUGCCGAGAAAAGCCUCUAGAUAGAAAAUAGGUGCCCGUACCGCAAACCGACACAGGUAGUCAAGAUGAGAAUUCUAAGGUGAGCGAGCGAACUCUCGUUAAGGAACUCGGCAAAAUGACCCCGUAACUUCGGGAGAAGGGGUGCUCUUUAGGGUUAACGCCCAGAAGAGCCGCAGUGAAUAGGCCCAAGCGACUGUUUAUCAAAAACACAGGUCUCUGCUAAACCGUAAGGUGAUGUAUAGGGGCUGACGCCUGCCCGGUGCUGGAAGGUUAAGAGGAGUGGUUAGCUUCUGCGAAGCUACGAAUCGAAGCCCCAGUAAACGGCGGCCGUAACUAUAACGGUCCUAAGGUAGCGAAAUUCCUUGUCGGGUAAGUUCCGACCCGCACGAAAGGCGUAACGAUUUGGGCACUGUCUCAACGAGAGACUCGGUGAAAUCAUAGUACCUGUGAAGAUGCAGGUUACCCGCGACAGGACGGAAAGACCCCGUGGAGCUUUACUGUAGCCUGAUAUUGAAAUUCGGCACAGCUUGUACAGGAUAGGUAGGAGCCUUUGAAACGUGAGCGCUAGCUUACGUGGAGGCGCUGGUGGGAUACUACCCUAGCUGUGUUGGNUUUCUAACCCGCACCACUUAUCGUGGUGGGAGACAGUGUCAGGCGGGCAGUUUGACUGGGGCGGUCGCCUCCUAAAAGGUAACGGAGGCGCUCAAAGGUUCCCUCAGAAUGGUUGGAAAUCAUUCAUAGAGUGUAAAGGCAUAAGGGAGCUUGACUGCGAGACCUACAAGUCGAGCAGGGUCGAAAGACGGACUUAGUGAUCCGGUGGUUCCGCAUGGAAGGGCCAUCGCUCAACGGAUAAAAGCUACCCCGGGGAUAACAGGCUUAUCUCCCCCAAGAGUUCACAUCGACGGGGAGGUUUGGCACCUCGAUGUCGGCUCAUCGCAUCCUGGGGCUGUAGUCGGUCCCAAGGGUUGGGCUGUUCGCCCAUUAAAGCGGUACGCGAGCUGGGUUCAGAACGUCGUGAGACAGUUCGGUCCCUAUCCGUCGUGGGCGUAGGAAAUUUGAGAGGAGCUGUCCUUAGUACGAGAGGACCGGGAUGGACAUACCUCUGGUGUACCAGUUGUCGUGCCAACGGCAUAGCUGGGUAGCUAUGUGUGGACGGGAUAAGUGCUGAAAGCAUCUAAGCAUGAAGCCCCCCUCAAGAUGAGAUUUCCCAACUUCGGUUAUAAGAUCCCUCAAAGAUGAUGAGGUUAAUAGGUUCGAGGUGGAAGCAUGGUGACAUGUGGAGCUGACGAAUACUAAUCGAUCGAAGACUUAAUCAA
rnacentral:rRNA from 1 species